UCAGUAAAUAAUACACCUGUCUCAAGAGAAUAUGCUGAUGAGAAUUGUCACGGAUUCAGUUUCUCCAACGAAUUAUGACCUUAUAUAGCUGAGAUGAGGAGAGAGCAAACAAGUUAAAACGGGUCGUUUAUAAAUCUAAAAUCUAACCACGCAGGGCGAAUAAGGUACUACUCUUCAAAGAACGUCACCGAGAGAGAUAAAGCCCAAACUGCACAUUUCCUUAAUAUAAUCAUAAAGAAAGCAAGGCUUUAAUAGGACUUUUGAGCAAUACAACUUGUGUACGUACCUACGAAAUUAAAGCAAAAUUUAGAGGUGAGAAGAUCGUGUCCGGAUUGCAUUACUAUGUCUAUGAAAAUGUCUGCCGUGUUAAUCCUUUUGCUGAUUGGAAGUUGUUUGUCACGUGAUCUUGGAGCAGCACGAGAGAAACGGUUGGACAAAACAAAAGCAUCCAAGUCAAAAGUUGUCUGUCAUUACAAUGGCAAGGAAUACAAGCCAGGAGAGAAGUUCGAUCAUGACCUGUGUAUCUGCACCGAAACUGGGGGUAUCAUGUGCGUUUAGACAAGGCUACAUCUUGUAUUGGUAACUGGAAUUUAGUUGCGACAAGAAACCUUUUUUUUUUUUAAAGUUCUAAACAGUCAUAAAAAAUAUUAAAAAUAA